rnacentral:rRNA from 1 species
AUACGUAGGGGGCGAGCGUUGUCCGGAAUGAUUGGGCGUAAAGGGCGCGUAGGCGGCCCGGUAAGUCUGGAGUGAAAGUCCUGUUUUUAAGAUGGGAAUUGCUUUGGAUACUGUCGGGCUUGAGUGCAGGAGAGGUAAGUGGAAUUCCCAGUGUAGCGGUGAAAUGCGUAGAGAUUGGGAGGAACACCAGUGGCGAAGGCGACUUACUGGACUGGAACUGACGCUGAGGCGCGAAAGUGUGGGGAGCAAACAGGAUUAGAUACCCUGGUAGUCCGCACUGUAAGCGAUGAAUGCUAGGGGUAGGGGGUAUCGACCCCUUCUGUGCCGCAGUCAACACAAUAAGCAUUCCGCCUGGGGAGUACGGCCGCAAGGUUGAAACUCAAAUGAAUUGACGGGG